rnacentral:rRNA from 1 species
GACGAACGCUGGCGGCGUGCUUAACACAUGCAAGUCGAACGGUGAAGCGCCUUCCUUUUUGGUGGGUGUGGAUGAGUGGCGAACGGGUGAGUAACACGUGAGUAACCUGCCCCCUUCUUCUGGAUAACCGCAUGAAAGUGUGGCUAAUACGGGAUAUUCUGGGUCUGUCGCAUGAUGGGUCUGGGAAAGAUAUUGUUUCGGUGGGGGAUGGGCUCGCGGCCUAUCAGCUUGUUGGUGGGGUGAUGGCCUACCAAGGCGGUGACGGGUAGCCGGCCUGAGAGGAUGGACGGUCACACUGGGACUGAGACACGGCCCCGACUCCUGCGGGAGGCAGCAGUGAGGAAUAGUGCACAAUGGGCGCAAGCCUGAUGCAGCGACGCCGCGUGAGGGAUGGAGGCCUUCGGGUUGUGAACCUCUUUCGCCAGUGAAGCAGGCCUGCCUCGUUUGUGGGUGGGUUGACGGUAGCUGGAUAAGAAGCGCCGGCUAACUACGUG